rnacentral:misc_RNA from 1 species
ACACAUUAAAAAAUGUGAAAUAUCCACCAUAUAUACUCUUGUGUAUAACUGGUAUCAGUUGAUCAGAUUCUGAACUACAGUUCAUAGAGUCUGACAACUUGAAGAAAGCUGAUUGAGAAUGCAUGCCAUGUUGAUUAACUUCCGUGGGUGCUACUCAACAGCAAAAGGAACUAGCUGAAUGAGUUUGCAUGCCAUGUUGAUUAACUUCCGUGGGUGCUACUCAACAGCAAAAGGAACUAGCUAAAUGAGUUUGCAUGCCAUGUUGAUUAACUUCCGUGGGUGCUACUCAACAGCAAAAGGAACUAGCUGAAUGAGUUUGCAUGCCAUGUUGAUUAACUUCCGUGGGUGCUACUCAACAGCAAAAGGAACUAGCUGAAUGAGUUUGCAUGUGCCAUGUUGAUUAACUUCCGUGGGUGCUACUCAACAGCAAAAGGAACUAGCUGAAUGAGUUUGCAUGUGCCAUGUUGAUUAACUUCCGUGGGUGCUACUCAGAAGCAAAAGGAACUAGCUGAAUGAGUUUGCAUGCCAUGUUGAUUAACUUCCGUGGGUGCUACUCAACAGCAAAAGGAACUAGCUGAAUGAGUUUGCAUGCCAUGUUGAUUAACUUCCGUGGGUGCUACUCAACAGCAAAAGGAACUAGCUGAAUGAGUUUGCAUGCCAUGUUGAUUAACUUCCGUGGGUGCUACUCAACAGCAAAAGGAACUAGCUGAAUGAGUUUGCAUGUGCCAUGUUGAUUAACUUCCGUGGAUGCUACUCAACAGCAAAAGAAAUCUAUUCUAUUGAUCGGUCGACUUCCUGGCAUACAUACACCAUGUAUUGCCUAGUGUCCCAGAUAGAUAGAUGGUAAGCAAAACACAAUAUUGUGUUUGCUCAGUGUCAAAAUGAAAAUGACAAAAUAGCCAAUACUAAAUGUGAUCAUUAGCCAGCAAGAAUAUAAA